rnacentral:rRNA from 1 species
GACGAACGCUGGCGGCGUGCUUAACACAUGCAAGUCGAACGGAAAGGCACUGCUUUUGUGGACUGCUCGAGUGGCGAACGGGUGAGUAACAGGUGAGUAACCUGCCCUUGACUUUGGGAUAACUUCAGGAAACUGGGGCUACUAUCGGAUAGGAGCCCCCGCUGCAUGGUGGGGGUUGGAAAGUUUAGGCGGGUGGGGAUGGACUAGCGGCUUAUCAGCUUGCUGGUGGGGUAGUGGGUUACCCAGGGUUUGACGGGUAGCCGGCCUGAGAGGGUGACCGGCGACAUGGGGACUGAGAUACGGCGCAGACUGCUACGGGAGGCAGCGGUGGGGAAUAUUGCACAAUGGGCGGAAGCCGGAGGCAGCAACGCCGCGUUCGUGAUGACGGCCUUCGGGUUGAAAACCGCUUUCGCCUGAGACGAAGCGGGAGUGACGGUAAUGGGUAAAGAAGCACCGGCUAACUACGUG